rnacentral:rRNA from 1 species
CUACGUGCCAGCAGCCGCGGUAAUACGUAGGGUGCGAGCGUUAAUCGGAAUUACUGGGCGUAAAGCGCACGCAGGCGGUUUGUUAAGUCAGAUGUGAAAUCCCCGCGCUUAACGUGGGAACUGCAUUUGAAACUGGCAAGCUAGAGUCUUGUAGAGGGGGGUAGAAUUCCAGGUGUAGCGGUGAAAUGCGUAGAGAUCUGGAGGAAUACCGGUGGCGAAGGCGGCCCCCUGGACAAAGACUGACGCUCAGGUGCGAAAGCGUGGGGAGCAAACAGGAUUAGAUACCCUGGUAGUCCACGCUGUAAACGAUGUCGACUUGGAGGUUGUGCCCUUGAGGCGUGGCUUCCGGAGCUAACGCGUUAAGUCGACCGCCUGGGGAGUACGGCCGCAAGGUUAAAACUCAAAGGAAUUGACGGGGACCCGCACAAGCGGUGGAUGAUGUGGAUUAAUUCGAUGCAACGCGAAGAACCUUACCUACUCUUGACAUCCAGAGAAUUCGCUAGAGAUAG